AUGAACACUUAUAUUUUGCUUACUAGUUCCAGAGCUGUGAUUAUCAUGCCACCUGCAGCAGGAAUGACAGUGGCUUCAAGGGAAUAUCAUGCUAAUUCCCCAACAAAGAUUUGUUCAAGAGGAGUGAUCUCUGAACCCUCUCCAGGACCAUACUCAGGUGGGUUAUAGUAAUCCUAAUCAGCUCCAGGACCAUUCUAGUGGGUUCUCUGGAAUUACACAAUAAUUCAGUUCUUUUUGUAAAAAGAAGUUUUAUUUAUUUAAGUAAUCUCUACACCCAAUGUGGGGCUCAAACUCCCAACCUCAAGAUCAAGAGUCACACACUCUUCUGUCUGAGCCACCUAGGCUCCUCUGAUAUUUCAAUUCUUAUACAUCCCUUUGCAGAAACUCUGACUUUCACAAUUUGCCAAGGCAAUUCCAGCAUUUCUGCCUCAUUACUGUGGCAACAUCAUGUCAAAUCUUCA
rnacentral:lncRNA from 12 species